UAACCCAGGGAAACUUGGGCUAAUACCGGAUACGCCCUCCGGGGGAAAGAUUCAUCGCCGAAAGAUCGGCCCGCGUCGGAUUAGCUAGUUGGUGGGGUAAUGGCUCACCAAGGCGACGAUCCGUAGCUGGUCUGAGAGGAUGACCAGCCACACUGGGACUGAGACACGGCCCAGACUCCUACGGGAGGCAGCAGUGGGGAAUAUUGGACAAUGGGCGAAAGCCUGAUCCAGCCAUGCCGCGUGGGUGAAGAAGGCCUUAGGGUUGUAAACCCCUUUCAGCGGGGAAGAUAAUGACGGUACCCGCAGAAGAAGUCCCGGCUAACUCCGUGCCAGCAGCCGCGGUAAUACGGAGGGGACUAGCGUUGUUCGGAAUUACUGGGCGUAAAGCGCACGUAGGCGGAUUUGUAAGUCAGGGGUGAAAUCCCGGGGCUCAACCUCGGAACUGCCUUUGAUACUGCAAAUCUCGAGUCCGGAAGAGGUGAGUGGAAUUCCUAGUGUAGAGGUGAAAUUCGUAGAUAUU
rnacentral:rRNA from 1 species